rnacentral:rRNA from 1 species
AUGCAAAAAUCAUACUUAGCUGCCCUUCUACAGCGAUGGGAGGAUGAGAUCCAUGAACAAUUAUGGCGCACAUGGAGCACCAUCAAAGAAACAUCAUGUGUGGUAAGUGGUCUUCGAAAAGGCAUGGAGGUACUCAGUGAGGUAAAAGAAAAGAGAUCAUUCAUCUUGAAGCACCCAGAGGUAUGCACUUAUGAACUCUUGAAGCAUUGGCGCGAUGAAAUUAGAGAAAAGAUGAUUGCUAUGUCAUCCAUCAAACAAUAUCCUUUUGUUAAUCAUAAUGAAAACAUCAAGGAGCCAAUAAAACUAAAAACUGAAUAUGCUUAUUUGACUUUUACUUGGCCAAGAUAUUUUGUAUUGUCCUUGUGCUAUUAUUUUUUAGACCGAAGGAAGUCGAGGGCGACUUUUCUUCAAGAGAGGGAGGAUGAUACAAACAUGGAUGUGCCUGAUUACAAGUUUGUACUCCAUGGAAAUGUUAGCUGGAAAGAAUUGCUGAGUCGAACAAAACAUUUGAAGUUCGAAAAGGUGAAAGCUAAACUUAAGCAUUUGAUAAAAUCUUGGCAUUGUUUCUUUGUACUGGCCAAUUUUCUUUUGUGUGAUGACCAGCUAGAGUCAGGGACGACUCCUUUUCAAGAGAAGGAGGAUGGUGAGGACAUGAAAAACCAUUCAACCCUUAGAGUCGAGGACGACUCCUUUUCAAGAGGGGGAGGAUGA